ensembl:snRNA U6 U6 spliceosomal RNA
GUGCUCGUUUUAGAAGCACAUAUGUUAAAAUUGGAACAAUGCAGAGAAUAGUAGCAUGGCCCCUGCACUAGGAUGACACCCAAAUUCAUGAGAUGUUCCAUAUUUUU